rnacentral:lncRNA from 10 species
AAAUUUCCAAAAAGGUGACCACAGGGAGAAAAACAUGAAGAUAACCACCAGCUCAGACCCAGCCGGGGCUUGUGGCCAUGCCCACCUGCUCCUGUGUGUCCUGGGCCUCGGGCAAGCCACUCAUCCUCUCCCCACUGUUUCCAGUCUGUAAGCUGGGAUUAGUGACGCUGCCUUCUCAGUUGUGGGAACCUAGAAGGCAGCAAUGGGCCUCUCUCCCUAGGUUGCAACCCGGGGCUGGCACGUAGUAGGUCUGUUUCCAGCUGCCACACACGCUACCUUACCAGGGGUCCCCAAGAGACAGGACAGGGUGAUGGGCCCAUUUCACAGGGGGAAAAACCGAGGCAAAGAAAGGCAGUGGAGACUCGUGCUUCUGCUUCAGUAGCUCCUGCCAUGGACUUGUCAUGGGAACCCCCUCCCACAAGCUCUGUCCCCGGCACCCUCUGGCACUGUUAGCCAGCGGAAUCCAGCUGUCACCAUGGCCUGGUUCUUAGCACCCCUGGGAACUUUUAGAGCCUCUGGCCUGUGCUAACUGAGGUUGGGCAGCUGCUGGCCAGGGCCCUAGAGAGAGGGGUAUCAGGUAGCUAGUGCUGAGUAACAAAUAGCUCCAAACACAUGACUUCACAUGUCCUUAGUAUUAAAGGGCCUGGUGGUACUGCUGCUCAUUGCUAGGCCUGGCAAGUCCUAGCUGGGCUCACUCACACAUCUGUGGGCAGCUGGGAGCUAGCUAGUCCAGGAUGGCCUCAGCUAGGGUGACCCAGGCUCCAUCGCCCUCUUGCCUUCCAGCAAAGCAGCCCAGCCCGUUCUCGUGCUAUAGCAGGAGUCGGGGAGAGCAGGCAGAGGCACGCAUGUCCCUGGAGGCUUAAGCUCAGAGCUGGGAAUGUCAUUGCUGUCACCUUUUAUUGGCCACAGCAAGUCAUAAGACAGGCUCAGAUUGAAGGAUGGGGAAGUAGACGCCACCUCUAGACAGGAGUUGGGGCAAAGUCACACAGCAAAGGGCGUGGUGAUUCAGGGAGGAGUGGGGCAUCGGGGACACGUUUGUAACUGAUCUACCACAGAGGGGAGCCCCCCUUUGAGAAAGUGCUUGGUGGGCCUUGGUGCUUACGCAGCCACGGACCAACCUGCUAGAUGGGGCCUUCAGUAGGGUGGCGGGACGUCAGUUUAGCCUCAGGAUUCGACUCCGAGCCUCUUGCGAGACCACGUCUUGGGCAGCAUCGUAGACCCGGCUGUGAGCACAGAGUGGCUCUUCCAGAAAGUUUGUUGAAUGACUGACUGACCUAAGUCAGUCCCUGUGCCAGGCAGCCCAGAGGGACCAGCCCAGAGCCUCCUUCUCGGGGUGCAAGCCUGGCUUGGGAUUGGGGGGUGUCUGCACUCGUGGAGCCCCCCAUGCCUGCCGGGAGCCUGAAGACGCAGAGACCUCCUGCCUCGCCUCGCCCCCUCCGUGGGGACCCUCUUCCCCACACUCCUUGGUUCCUGUCGGAGCCAAGAUGUGUCACCAUGGAAACCGCUUGGCAAACGCUGGCAGGCAGAGGCGGCCAACAGCAGCUCUCCCGAUCGAGCUCCGGGCACCGGCUGGAGCAACGUCGCGGGACGGCGUGAGCGAGCACACCCAGCCGUGUGUGACACGCGUGGGGACAGAGGCCGGGGCGGCUGCGGGAGGGCGUGCGGGGAGGUGCUGACAGGACCGGCAGAGGUGGCCACUGCCCUCGUCCCCAGCCUGCACUCCUGGGCGAAGGCUGACGCUGAACAGGCUUCCAGUCCUCCCAGUGGAUCCCACCUCUGCACCUUUGCCCAGGCUGUGCUGAGACCUGGAAGGCCCCUUCUCUCCCUACUCCAUCUUGACAAAGCCUUCCUGCUUCAGCUCAGAGGCACCUCUUCCAGGAAGUUGGCCCUGAUGGCCCCAGUGGAAGGGAAGUUCCUUUCAACUGAGUGGGGAGGCGCCCCACCCUAGCAGCCCCUCCCAGACCCCAAGCAGCCUUGGGGCUCCCCAGGCACUCGCCUGGCAGAACGGAAGCAGGGGUGGCGGCUGAGGUCUGCCACCCUCGCUGAGCGCCCUGCAGCCCCUGUGGUUGCAGUUUUACUUGUUUUGAAAGCCCCAUUAAUGAUCAGAAGUUUGGGAAAGGGGGCCUGGCUGGGCUAGACUGGGGGGACAUGGAGCCCCAGGGACCAGCCAGGCCCCUUUCUGACCAGACCUCUAAUCUGAUGUGAUGGCACCACUGGUGGGUGGGACACAGCUGUCCCCAGAAUGUACCUGGGGGAGGAAUGACUUCACCUCCCCUGCCGGGUGAGUCACCUUCUGGGGGGUGGGGGGGCGGUGGAUGGAAGAGGUCAGGCUGCCUCAUUCCCCUAAGACACUGCUGGGCCUGCUUCCCCUUUUGAGGGCAGAGAAACGUCCCUCCCUCAGCUUGGAAGAGGAAGGGGCCAGAUGCGCUGUCCUGUGCACCUUCCAAAACACCCCCUGACCUCCAGCACCCGGGGACUGCAUUUACCUUUGUUCCCAUUUGUCAGAUGGAGAGGUCGAGGCCUCGGGAGGAGCCGGGCUUCCUCCCCACCCCACUUCUUGCUCCUCUGCUCUCCCCGAUGCCCACUUAGCCCCCACUCCCACCCCGCUCCACACACAGGGACAUAUGAACAUUAAUGGGGACUCCCCAAGCCCUGGCAGGGCCCCCACAGCUGUAUCCAUGGGUCUGUCCGACCCCUGGGUCCAGCCACACCUCUGCCCCCGGGGCCCCACCAGCUCUGUGGGGAGGCGAUGCCAGCUGCAGGCGGGGACAGCGUCGGGGCCAGGGCAGAAGGCCCCAAGCCUCUGAGUCAGCCGGGCAGGAAGGAGGCCAGCAGCCUCUGCCCGCAGCCUGUUCCGUCACGACCCCCCCGCCCCACCCCAGAGUCUCAGCUUCCUCGUUCAGAAGAGGGGCCUAUGCCGUCCUAUGAGAAGUGGGUGGGCACAUGGUGGGUGCUCAGGGAGGACCACAGCCACCCAGACGGGGGUCAGGCCACGUGACGGUGAGGGCCCUCCAUCCUCCCGCCAUCCCCAUCACUGUCCACACCCCCCAGGCAGCUGCUCUGCUGACUCAGGACCGUCCAAGGCCAAGGUGGGGUCACAGCCCUGCCAGCCGCCCCCAAGGCCAGGGUAGCCCCCAGCCAGGCUUAGAGUAAGGGGGUCUCUGCAGGCCCAUUCAGCACGUCAGCACUCUUCUGGAGGGGGCAGCGACGGGGGAGGGCAAGGCACCCCCCCAUAGAGAGGCACUUUUCACAGUGUGUCGUCUCCUUGGAGCAGAGUGGGGGGUGCAGAGGCACCAGGAGGGGGACCUGGAGCCCUGGGGUCGGGGGAAGCAGGGUCAGGCCAGAGCAGGAACUUGCAAGGGGCGCGGCCAGGGCAGUGCCAGGCCAAGGGUGUAAGCCCCAGGGAAGGGGUGGGGGCUCAUGGUGAAGAGGAAGUGAGCCGCCCCGGGGCUGCCAGGAGGGUGAGGGGAGGGAAUCCCCGCAGAGGCUGCAGCACCCGUCCCCUACUCAGUCACCCUCAAAGGCUGGAUUUGAGGAAGGAAAAGCACCGCAGAGCUGCUGUAUUUAAAAAACAAGCGUCUGGAUCUCUGCAGGGGCUGGGAC